rnacentral:rRNA from 1 species
UACAUAGGGGGCGAGCGUUAUCCGGAUUUACUGGGCGUAAAGGGCGCGUAGGCGGAUCGUUAAGUCAGAGGUGAAAUCCCGGAGCUCAACUUCGGAAUUGCCUUUGAUACUGGCGAUCUUGAGUAUGAGAGAGGUAUGUGGAACUCCGAGUGUAGAGGUGAAAUUCGUAGAUAUUCGGAAGAACACCAGUGGCGAAGGCGACAUACUGGCUCAUUACUGACGCUGAGGCGCGAAAGCGUGGGGAGCAAACAGG